rnacentral:lncRNA from 1 species
GCGCACUUGCUUAAAUGAACAGGUGGUGGGAAUCUGGUUUUUAGCUGAGCCUCCAACCCUGCCUCCUGUGUCCUUAUUAUCUUCCUAUCGAGGAAAGAAGAGGAUGCAACAGAUCUCCCCGUUAAUCCCAAAUCCUUGUCAGGCCGCUGCAGCAAGCACUCCUGGGGCUGCCGAUGGCUUCCUACGACUGGUUCCCGGAGAACAGCAGUUUGGCAGCAGUUGCACCUGGAAUAGUCAGUGCAUGCUCAAUAGUUGGGCAGGGGGCUUUUCCUCCAAAGGUCAGCAUGUCAGCACACGACAGGGUCAAAGGGAUUACAGCAGGCGUUUCCUAGCAACGACACAGGAGACAUCUAGAGGAUAGAAAGUAAAAAACUGCCUAGAUGCCUGUGCUUCGUGUCAGUUUUCAGAUAAGAAAAGAGAGUGCUGUUAAGGCUCUAUUUAUAAUACGUCCUUGAAAGUCAAGUGCCAUCUUUGAGCUAAAACACUGGUAGGUAAGGAGAGGAGACACAAGGCAAGGUCACCCUUAGGGAGAAUGAGAGCCCUCAAUGCCCAAGUGUGGGCACACAGGCGCUCCCAUGCAGGCUCGCACACGCACGCACACACAACAUUCCAGGUCCAAACGAACAAGAGAAAAGACACACAGGUCCAGGGAAAGAAGAGGAAAUGCCUAUAAUGUGAUAGAAACUCAAUACAUGUUUGGUAAAAAAAAAAAAAAAAAAAAGACAAAGAAGGGGAGGGGAUUUCAGGGAGGGAGGAAUUCAGAGGGACUGCAAAUUUAGUAAGGAAAGCACUGAAGUUGGAGUCAGGGGAUCUGGAUUUGAAGCCUGGCUCUACUUUUCUUAGAAAUUUGAGCUUGGACAAGUUCCUUUCCUCUCUGAAUUUUGGUUUCUUCCUCCCUUGAGUGGGUGUAAGAUUUCCUUCCCAACUAAUCUCAUAAGAUUGCUGUAAAAAUCAAAUGAAAUAAUGGCUAUGGAAGUACUUUGUAAACUGAAACUACUAUAAACAAAUGAGGUACUCAGUGUCGUAGCUAGCAUUUUUUAGGAUGCUGUUUGCCAGCAACUAUGACAUGCUCUGCAUACAUUGAAGUAUUUAACCUCACAACAGUCUUGCAGAUGUAAGCUGUUAUUAUUACUCUCCUACAGAUGAGGAAACAUAAAGACACAGAGUAAUUUGCUGGAGGUCACACUACUAGUAAGUGAUCAACUAGGAUUUGAACCAGGCCUACCUUAGUGCAGCAGCCAAUCCUUUUAACCACUCCACUACCUGCUAGGCCUUAAUAUGUAUUCAAUGCCUUGUCACACACACAAGUGAACAUCAAUCUGCCUUUCAGUGUUAAAAGACAUUGUAUUAGUUGCCUAGGACUGCCAUAACAGAAUACCACAGACCAAGCAGCUUAAACAACAGAAAUUUAUUUUUUCACAGUUCUGAAGGCUGCAAGUCCAAGAUCAAGGUGCCAGCAGGGUUGGUUUCUGGUGAAGUCCCUCUUCCUGGCUUGCAGAGAGCUGCUCUCUCCUUGUGACCUCCCGUGGCCUUUUUCCUGUGUAUGUACACUCCUGGUGUCUCUUUCUCUUCUUAUAAGGACACCAGUCCUAUUGGAUUAGGUCUCCACUCUUGCAAGCUCCUUAAACCUUAAUUACAUCCCUACGGCCCUAUCUCCAAAUACAGUCACAUUGGGAGUUAGGGCUUCAACACAUGAAUUUGAGGGGGACACAUUUCAUUCCAUAACAGACAAGCAAUAGAUAAAUACUCCAAAAACCAAAAAGUUUGUCUGCUUCCCCUCUCCGUUCCCCACCCCGCCCCCAGCGAAGGGUUUUUUGUUUUGUUUUGUUUUUUUUUUUUAACUCUCAUCAGGUCAACAACAGCCACUGCAGCAAAAUUUUUCAGCUCUGAGUUCUGCCCAGUUAACUGCUCUCCCAUAAGGCCAAGCAGCUCUGCUGUGAAGGAACGAAGCAGGUUUUGUGCAAAACAUUGAACAUGUUUCUGCUCUCUCCCUCCUGCUCAAGAGCAUUCUGAAGAAGUGGAAAGAUCUGUCCCAUCUUUCCCUCUUGCCAGCCAUUCCUAUUUAUAGUUUCUGAUGCUGGCGGGUCUGAAAGAGUCAAGAGUUUUAAAAUCACUUCCGUUUUUCUGCGGCAUGUUCCCUGCCCCUGCAUCGGCUUCUCCUAGGCCGUUAGAAACUUAUUGUUUCUGGUUCCCAUGUGGUAGGGGUUGGGGUCAAAGGGAGACAAAGAGAAAGAAAGAUUUGCAGCAUGCAAAAGUGUAGGUUCUUUUUUUAAAACCCUCAGAGGAAAAUAAAUUGUGGUUGUAUCCCUGUAGUGGUUUCUAUUUAGGUCUGCCCGUAACUAAGCCCUCCCAGUCUGUUCCUGGAAACCUAGAGAAAAAGUUUUAGGUUGACUUCAUCCUUGAAUCCUACUUCAGAGAGAUGCUGAUGAAUCUGAGGGCAAAGAGAGAAAGGCAAAAGGAGUUUGCUGCCUGGAUGCCAGAAGCCAGUAAAGGGUUUUGCAAUUCAUCUCCCUAUUCCUAGCGGCACACAAUAAAUUAGCAGCAUCAAUCUAUCUAACAGUAUCAGACUUCAGAACUUGUGAGUCAUAUGUUCAUGGCAUUGCUUUGUGCAAAUAGAUACUCUAAAUAUGCAUCAAUCUGGAACAUUUUAUGAGUAUUUAUCAAAAUGUUCUCUUGUCUCCCAGCACAUAUAUUAAUAACAAUAAUACUAAAUAACACCAAGUUGCAGCCAUGCACAAGACUCCAAACUCUGGAUUUAGUUUGCAAAUGUACUGAAGGCUAUUUGUAAUCAUAAAAAGAAAAAAAAAAAAAAAGCCCAGUAACAAGAAGUUCUUAUGGAAGAUAGACUAAAGCUUAUAUGUUAUAGUUUUAUAGAGGGAUGAUAGAAGAAAUAUAGAAGUAUAGUUAAACUUGAUUUAUUCCCAGUAAAAAUUCUGCAUUGGAAAGAACAGAAAUUCUUUACUUUGAGAACCUUAUCUAUGUGACUAUGAACUAAGUCAUAUCCCAUAUUUGCUCUCACUGUGCUAAUCUUACAUGUUCUAGAAAAUAAAUUAGAUAUACUCUGUAAAUUUCUCCAUUACCUGGACUUAGAUUGCCUUAUAAAUUUGAGGGGGAAACAUUUCGUAAUGUUGCCAUAGUCAACAAUGAAACUUCUGAGUGUCUGAAGAUACAGCAAGACUAACACAUAGUUGCAUUUCAAAUCAACACACAUUAAAUUAGAAAAAGCAUCUGGAGGAAUAUAACUAUAUCAAAUUGGCAGUUUUGCCUGGGGCUUGAUGCUGAGUUUAUAG